GAUGAAGAACGCAGCGAAAUGCGAUAAGUAAUGUGAAUUGCAGAAUUCAGUGAAUCAUCGAAUCUUUGAACGCACAUUGCGCCCCCUGGUAUUCCGGGGGGCAUGCCUGUUCGAGCGUCAUUUCACCACUCAAGCCUCGCUUGGUAUUGGGCAACGCGGUCCGCCGCGUGCCUCAAAUCGUCCGGCUGGGUCUUCUGUCCCCUAAGCGUUGUGGAAACUAUUCGCUAAAGGGUGUUCGGGAGGCUACGCCGUAAAACAACCCCAUUUCUAAGGUUGACCUCGGAUCAGGUAGGGAUACCCGCUGAACUUAAGCAUAUCAAUAAGCGGAGA
rnacentral:misc_RNA from 1 species